GACGAACGCUGGCGGCGUGCUUAACACAUGCAAGUCGAACGGAAAGGCCCUGCUUUUGUGGGGUGCUCGAGUGGCGAACGGGUGAGUAACACGUGAGUAACCUGCCCUUGACUUUGGGAUAACUUCAGGAAACUGGGGCUAAUACCGGAUAGGAGCUCCUGCUGCAUGGUGGGGGUUGGAAAGUUUCGGCGGUUGGGGAUGGACUCGCGGCUUAUCAGCUUGUUGGUGGGGUAGUGGCUUACCAAGGCUUUGACGGGUAGCCGGCCUGAGAGGGUGACCGGCAACAUUGGGACUGAGAUACGGCCCAGACUCCUACGGGAGGCAGCAGUGGGGAAUAUUGCACAAUGGGCGGAAGCCUGAUGCAGCACCGCCGCGUGCGGGAUGACGGCUUUCGGGUUGUAAACCGCUUUCGCCUGUGACGAAGCGUGAGUGACGGUAAUGGGUAAAGAAGCACCGGCUAACUACGUG
rnacentral:rRNA from 1 species